GCAGAGCACUCAUAGGGAGGCAGCAGUGGGGAAUAUUGCACAAUGGGCGCAAGCCUGAUGCAGCCAUGCCGCGUGUAUGAAGAAGGCCUUCGGGUUGUAAAGUACUUUCAGCAGUGAGGAAGGUGGGUAUGUUAAUAGCAUACUCAUUUGACGUUAGCUGCAGAAGAAGCACCGGCUAACUCCGUGCCAGCAGCCGCGGUAAUACGGAGGGUGCGAGCGUUAAUCGGAAUUACUGGGCGUAAAGCGCAUGCAGGUGGUUUGUUAAGUCAGAUGUGAAAAGCCCCGGGGCUCAACCUCGGAAUUGCAUUUGAAACUGGCAAACUAGAGUACUGUAGAGGGGGUAGAAUUUCAGGUGUAGCGGUGAAAUGCGUAGAGAUCUGAAGGAAUACCGGUGGCGAAGGCGGCCCCCUGGACAGAUACUGACACUCAGAUGCGAAAGCGUGGGGAGCAAACAGGAUUAGAUACCCUGGUAG
rnacentral:rRNA from 1 species